rnacentral:tRNA from 1 species
GGGUGGUUAGCUCAGUGGUAGAGCACUGCCUUCACACGGCAGGGGUCGCAGGUUCGAACCCUGCACCACCCACCA